GGCACGGUGGCGGAGAGGCUACGUAGCGGUCUGCAAAACCGCGUACACCAGUUCGAGUCUGGUCCGUGCCUCCA
rnacentral:tRNA from 1 species